rnacentral:lncRNA from 1 species
GAAAUUCAGGCUGCAUUGGCUGAUAAUCGCUAAUGGGUUGUUGAGCCAGGUAUUCCGCUAGGGCACUACCCUUGACGAAUUUCUGAGUUACAUAUACAAUGUCAUAUUCUGAUAAUAGCAUCUGCCACCGAGCUAUCCUUCCAAUGAGAGCGGGUUUCUCAAAAAUAUACUUGAUAGGGUCCAUCUUUGAUAUUAACCAGGUAGAGUGACUCAGCAUGUAUUGCCUUAAAUGAUGAGCAGCCCACGC